rnacentral:rRNA from 1 species
GUGCCAGCAGCCGCGGUAAUACGGAGGGUGCAAGCGUUAUCCGGAUUCACUGGGUUUAAAGGGUGCGUAGGAGGGCAGGGAAGUCAGUGGUGAAAUCUGUGGGCUUAACCCACAAACUGCCGUUGAUACUCUCUGUCUUGAAUAUGGUGGAGGUGAGCGGAAUAUGUCAUGUAGCGGUGAAAUGCUUAGAUAUGACAUAGAACACCAAUUGCGAAGGCAGCUCGCUACACCUAUAUUGACUCUGAGGCACGAAAGCGUGGGGAUCAAACAGGAUUAGAUACCCUGGUAGUCC